ensembl:lincRNA
AUGUGUUUCCAAGUGAGUCUGAUUGGGACAGGAGCCGACGUGGGACUUGGAGGCUGGAGAUGGGAGCAGCAUUCACAGCCAUGGAGAGAGAACUGUUCACUGCUACCAUCCACACUUCCGGGCCCCUUCAGCAGCAGGGUGACAAGGAAGAGGGAAAUCGACUUGGAAAAGAGGGGACCUCUGACCCAAGAGUUUGGUCAAUGCAUAUGUUGGCAGCCAACUGCACAUAGCACCAAAUACGAACUUCAAAUAGAAGAAAGCCGCAUUUGGAAGAAAGCUCAUGCACAGACUGUAAAUAUUUCAGAGCAGAUUGUGUCUCUGUAGAUUAAGUAAGUUGUGAAAGUCUGAACCUCUGCCAAAAUGUUAAGACCUUGACCUUUACAUCUCUGAGUUUCUAUCUGUCAUUUUUCCUCUCUGUCAUUUUACCUUUCAUAUUUAUAAAAUGGAAUUCAUAAUCUUCUCAGCCUACCAAGUGUUAGUGUUCUAGGGAUUCAGAUAAAAUAUGUAUGAAAUUACUUUGAAUUACCUAAAACAUGACAUUUAUUCAUUCAACAAGUAUUUGUUGAACAUAUAUGUCCUUCCUGGUUCUGUGUCAGGUGCUGGUGAAUAUAGCUGUGGUCAUGGCAGACUUUACCUCUGCUUUCAUAACUAUAACAUGAAAGUGUUGUUACCACAGUCAUGUUAUUAGAACGACUACUUUAACAUCGACUACUAAUAUAAAAUUUGUAGAUGUUUAAAUGAAAUCAUUAUUUGUGUAACCAUUAAUAUCCUGUGUAAUGUUAUAAUAUUUGGGGCAUCUUUGUAAUUGUUAAAUGAUUUAUUUCAUUCCCAGGUGAGUUUGUAGAAAAUAAUACAAUCACUCUCAAUUCCAUUAGUGUUUUUACUUUCAGUUUGAUUCACAUCGCUCAUCCCAGUCUGACAUAAGUCAUCACCUACAAGAACCAAACAAGGAAAAAUAGAACAAACUUAAAAGAAAUCAGCUAUCGUAUCUCUAUAAAUGUAUUCUGCCUCUAUUUUUCAUUUUCUUUUAGUAAAGUACUUUAUAAGAAAAACAAUGAAGGGCAGGGAAUUAGAAUCUACUCAAGCAUCUGCUGUAUUCUAGACAUUUUACGUCCAUCGUCUUCUUCACACACCUUGGCACUCCACAAUGCAGAGGUUACUAUCCCCAAUUUGUAGAUGGAGUAUGAGACGCAUUGAGAGAUGAAGUGACUUUUCAGACUCAGUCAGUUGCUCUCUAAAGCCAAUGCUCUUUCCACUGUACCUAACAAUUUUGUUCUAUCAAUCUGUUUAACUACAACAUGAUAUUAUUUAAUGUGACUCAGUUCAUAUGCUAUUGAUCAGUAGGGAAUUGAUGUGAAUUUCGUUGGUCUUGUCAGCAAACAGGUUAUUUUUCCAGUAUGACAAUGUUGUGACAAGAUCAGAAGCCAGCUUUCUCACCAUUAAAUCAAAGUCUUAUCAAUAUAUGGAGACUUUUAUGGAAAGAAACCUGAAAUUAUGCAGAAAUGCCUUCCGCAAGAAGUGGCUAGUAUGGUGGCUUCAAGAACAGUGACAUUUUCUAGUAUGUCCGUUGUUCUAAGACGUUAGUACAUCACAAUUAUCUAGAAAACUUGUUAAAACACAGAAGUCUGGGCUCCCCCUCUUAGCCAACCCCCAUUCCCAGAGGGUUUCUGUUUCCAUGGGUCUGAAAUACCACCUAAUGAUUUGCAUUUCUAACAAAUUUCUGCAUGAAGCUGCUGGUCUGAGGACCACACUUUGACAACCAGUGCACUACGUUAAGCUAUCUGGAGAAGCUGCAAAUGCAGAUGAAGAAGCUACAAAUUUUUCUAUGUCAACAAAAAUUGACUGAUGAGGAUGACCUUCAGAUCAUGUUUUUAAUGUUUAUGAAACUGGUCUCAUUAUCAGAAGUAAAUGGCUUCAAGAACUUCAGCCUGAGGAAGAAAACAUGAGUCCUAGGCAUAUCAGGCUACAACCAUGUUUGGAAUGAAUCUAGGUGCAAAUCUCAGUGGAGAAUUAACUGUACCAAUAUUUUAAUUAGGAUUACUAAUGUUUUGUUACUUCCUGAUUACAAGGUUCUAUAGGUUUUGAAUGAUCCACUGUAACCCUGUUUCUUUUCCAUAAGUCGUGUAGUUUUUAGCAUGUAAUUAUGCAGACCAUAAGGUUUUUCAGGAAUACUAAUAUGGCAUUAGAUUAGAAAUGCUAUAUUAAAAAUUCUUAUUAAAUCUACUGAUAGUAACCAAAAAAUAGAAGAUUCAGAAGAACUAGCAAAUGUGGAGAGAAUGGAUGAAAUGGAAGCAGUGUGAACCUAGUGAAUACUUGCCAAGCUGUAUCUCCACUGAAUUUGUCAAAACAUCAUCUCCAGCAUCUGAGCUAGACCAACCCUCAGUGCUAACAUUGAUGUGAUUAAAAAGAGUCUGAACUGGAAGCAGAAUUCCUUCAGGUAUUUUGUUAAUAAAAUAAAGCCCUCCAUCUCUCCUUAAAUUAAACAAGCCUGCUCUCCUGGAUCAUGUUUUGAACAUAGUUCAUUUUACGAAAGGCUUCCCUUUGGGGCCCUUUAUUUUAAUUCUGGUUGUGCAAAUCAGCCCAUGUUCUGUUCAUGAGGGACAUCUGUUCAUUCCCCGUGAAAACAAAUUCGUUGGAUGCACCCUGGGAGGCUACAAGGAGGGAAGUGAGAACGUGCAGAGCAGGUAGAAAGAGAAGUGAGAGGCUGGGCGCGGUGGCUCACGCCUGUAAUCCCAGCACUUUGGGAGGCUGAGGCGGGCUGGAUCACGAGGUCAGGAGAUCGAGACCAUCCUGGCUAACACGGUGAAACCCCGCCUCUACUAAAAAUUACAAAAAAUUAGCUGGGCGUGGUGGCGGGCGCCUGUAGUCCCAAGCUACUCGGGAGGCUGAGGCAGGAGAAUGGCGUGAACCCGGGAGGCGGCGCUUGCAGUGAGCCGAGGUCACGCCACUGCACUCCAGCCUGGGCGACAGAGCGAGGCUCCGUCUCAAAAAAAAAAAAGAGAAGUAAGAGCUUGCAGGAGAGGGUACCUGAAGCACCUGAGAUUUGGGGGUCUUGUCCCCUGCGUCCUGCCAAAAGUCUUGCCGUGCACCUCCUUCGCCAAAUAAAUGAAGAGCCAAAAUGCCACCCACUAAAAUUAACAUGAAAGGGGAUAAAAGAUGUGAUGUUUGCUCCUAACCUGUGUAGAUUGAAACAAGGUUCCCUGUGUUCUCUAGCCUCAUGCCAU